AGGGGGAUAACUACUGGAAACGGUAGCUAAUACCGCAUAACGUCGCAAGACCAAAGAGGGGGACCUUCGGGCCUCUUGCCAUCAGAUGUGCCCAGAUGGGAUUAGCUAGUAGGUGGGGUAAUGGCUCACCUAGGCGACGAUCCCUAGCUGGUCUGAGAGGAUGACCAGCCACACUGGAACUGAGACACGGUCCAGACUCCUACGGGAGGCAGCAGUGGGGAAUAUUGCACAAUGGGCGCAAGCCUGAUGCAGCCAUGCCGCGUGUGUGAAGAAGGCCUUCGGGUUGUAAAGCACUUUCAGCGAGGAGGAAGGUGGUGAACUUAAUACGUUCAUCAAUUGACGUUACUCGCAGAAGAAGCACCGGCUAACUCCGUGCCAGCAGCCGCGGUAAUACGGAGGGUGCAAGCGUUAAUCGGAAUUACUGGGCGUAAAGCGCACGCAGGCGGUUUGUUAAGUCAGAUGUGAAAUCCCCGGGCUCAACCUGGGAACUGCAUUUGAAACUGGCAAGCUAGAGUCUCGUAGAGGGGGGUAGAAUUCCAGGUGUAGCGGUGAAAUGCGUA
rnacentral:rRNA from 1 species